UGCUCACACACACUCACACCAGACCAGACUGUGUGUCUGUGGGGACCAGUGUCUCGAGCCCGAGCUCCUGCUCACACACACUCACACCAGACCAGGCUGUCAGUGGUGUCAGCGGGGUCCAGUGUCUCGAACCCGAGCUCUUGCUCUCUCACACACACCAGACUGUGUGUCUGUGGGGACCAGUGUCUCGAACCCGAGCUCGUGCUCACACACACUCACACCAGACCAGGCUGUCAGUGGUGUCAGUGGGGUCCAGUGUCUCGAACCUGAGCUCUUGCUCUCUCACACACACACACCAGACCAGGCUGUCAGUGGUGUCUGUGGGGACCAAUGUCUCGAACCCGAGCUCGUGCUCACACACACUCACACCAGACCAAGCUGUCAGUGGUGUCUGUAGGGUCCAGUGUCUCGAACCCGUGCUGGAGAAUAACCAUGCGACGCUGUGCAGCUCGUCUCAUUCAUGUUUACUGCUGCGUGGUGCUCCAGCCUGCUGCAGGUGUGUGCACUGAUUGUGCCCUCGUGUCGAUGAUGUCACUGAUGUUCCCGCGGCAGCAGGAUGUUUGCAGCUGCCGCGCUGUUGCCAUGGUGACAAACACAGCUCUCAGCCUGCGCCACUUCCUGUUCCCAAGAGGAGGGGGGAGGUUUCGGGCCUCUCUCGCUCACUCACACCUGGCUCCACCUCUGCAGGUUUAUAAAGCCCUGCCGCCAGCAGCUGUCGCCAUGGCAACAAAACAGGAGUGAGGACUGCUCCCCGACUGUACCCCCGCUCUCGCAGCGCGCCAGGACGAGCCCCCCGGCGGGAGAUGCGUGGUCCUGCUCCCCGCCCGUCUCCCCGGGAGCUGGCUGUUCAAGACCAGCCCUGCACCUCUCUGCUGCUCUUAAAGAGUCUCCGAGCUUCCCUCCCUGAGUGCCGGCGUCUCUGCUUCGCUCUGCUGCCGGAUUUCUGACCCGCUUCGCCAGGACUCCCGCGCCCGGUAUCAGCCUGUGCUCGACCGCAGCUACGCCGCUGCUUCACCGCCAGGGGGCGGCCGCGGGCGCCACUGCCGACCCGGGCCCCCCCGCAAGAAACCACCACAGCUCGAACUGCUCUCCACCGCUUUAUUUCAAGAUCAGGGGUCCUUCAUGUGCAAGUCCUUCGUGCGGGAAGACAGGAGACCCGGCAGGGUUAGAAAAUAAAUAAAAGUCCUAAAGAAAUCAUCCACUUGAUCAAAUAAAUACAUGAACAAAGAUAAAAUACAACAAAAGUAGAGAUUACUGGGCUGCACUGUUUCUGGACAACUGAGAUGCUACCUGUCACCCCCUCCUCCUCCUCCUCCUCAGUGAACUCCCUCAGCUGUCCUCGUCAUGUACAGCUCUUCCCUCCGUUCUUCAUCACCACCAACACAAAACUCAACAACAACAAGAACCGCAACUAAAAAAUAAAAACUCUGUUUCACAGCUCAGUUUCUGUUCAGCCGUCUGACCUCGGCUUUCUGUCCUCUCCCUCCUCCUUCUCCCCCGAACCACUCUAUCCCUCCUCUCUCUCCGCCCACUCUCUCUCCCCUCUCCCCCUGCUCCUUUCCCCUCUCCUCUCCCUGUAUCUCCCUUGCUCCUCUCCCCUCUCCUCUCUCUCACCCCCUCUGACUUGCUCCUUUCCCCUCUCCACUCUCUCCCCUCUCCUCUCUCUCUCCCUUGCUCCUUUCCUCUCUCCUCUCUCUCUCUUCCCCUCCCUUGCUCCUCUCCCCUCUCCUCUCUCUCUCCCUUGCUCCUCUCCCCUCUCCACUCUCUCCUCUCUCUCUCUCUCUUGCCCCUCUCCCCUCUCUCCCCUCUCCUCUCUCCCUUGCUCCUCUCCCCUCUCCUCUCUCCCCUCUCUCUC
rnacentral:lncRNA from 1 species